UACACUCCUACGGGAGGCAGCAGUGGGGAAUUUUGGACAAUGGGCGCAAGCCUGAUCCAGCCAUGCCGCGUGCGGGAAGAAGGCCUUCGGGUUGUAAACCGCUUUUGUCAGGGAAGAAAAGGUUCUGGCUAAUACCUGGGACUCAUGACGGUACCUGAAGAAUAAGCACCGGCUAACUACGUGCCAGCAGCCGCGGUAAUACGUAGGGUGCAAGCGUUAAUCGGAAUUACUGGGCGUAAAGCGUGCGCAGGCGGUUAUGCAAGACAGAGGUGAAAUCCCCGGGCUCAACCUGGGAACUGCCUUUGUGACUGCAUGGCUAGAGUACGGUAGAGGGGGAUGGAAUUCCGCGUGUAGCAGUGAAAUGCGUAGAUAUGCGGAGGAACACCGAUGGCGAAGGCAAUCCCCUGGACCUGUACUGACGCUCAUGCACGAAAGCGUGGGGAGCAAACAGGAUUAGAUACCCGGGUAGUCCCAUGA
rnacentral:rRNA from 1 species